rnacentral:rRNA from 1 species
GACAGAGGAUGCAAGCGUUAUCCGGAAUGAUUGGGCGUAAAGCGUCUGUAGGUGGCUUUUUAAGUCCGCCGUCAAAUCCCAGGGCUCAACCCUGGACAGGCGGUGGAAACUACCAAGCUGGAGUACGGUAGGGGCAGAGGGAAUUUCCGGUGGAGCGGUGAAAUGCGUAGAUAUUGGAAAGACCACCGAUGGCGAAGGCACUCUACUGGGCCACUACUGACACUGAGAGACGAAAGCUAGGGGGAGCAAAUGGG